rnacentral:rRNA from 1 species
UAACGCGUGAGUAACACACCCUUCGGUGGGGUAUAGCCUCGGGAAACUGAGGGUAAUCCCGCAUACGAUCCCAGUGCUUUGGUGUUGGGAUGAAAGCCUUCGGGCGCCGGAGGAGUGGCUCGCGUCCUAUCAGGUAGUUGGUGGGGUAACGGCUCACCAAGCCGAUGACGGGUAGCUGGUCUUAGAGGACGAUCAGCCAGAGGGGGACUGAGACACGGCCCCCACUCCUACGGGAGGCAGCAGCAGGGAAUUUUGGGCAAUGGACGAAAGUCUGACCCAGCGACGUCGCGUGGGGGAUGAAGGCUCUAGGGCUGUAAACCCCUUUUCCGAGGGAAGAGGAAGGACGGUACCUCGGGAUAAGUCCGGCUAACUACA